rnacentral:rRNA from 1 species
UACGAAGGUCCCAAGCGUUUAUCCGGAUUUAUUGGGUUUAAAGGGUGCGUAGGCGGCUUAUUAAGUCAGGGGUGAAAGACGGUGGCUCAACCAUCGCAGUGCCCUUGAUACUGAUGAGCUUGAAUACACUUGAGGUAGGCGGAAUGUGACAAGUAGCGGUGAAAUGCAUAGAUAUGUCACAGAACACCAAUUGCGAAGGCAGCUUACUAAGGUGCAAUUGACGCUGAGGCACGAAAGCGUGGGGAUCAAACAGG